rnacentral:lncRNA from 1 species
UGGCUAACAGGGCAAUCCUGAAACGUUUGGUUAAUGAAUCCAAGCAAUCACGCAAUGGUGAAAUGAGUUCUAGAUCACCUGUUUCCUACACUCCAUCAAGGUAUGUAUCUUCAUUGUCACCUUUUGGUUCCAAGAAUCAUAGCAGAUCAGAUUCAUUAGGUGCUAGAAAUGUGUCGAACAAUGUUGGUUUUGGUGUUGGGUCACCAAUUCGAUCCAUUUCUGUCGAGGCAUUGAAAUCAAGCGAUACUUUUCCUCGCCGCCAUAACUCUGCAACCCCUGAAGAGCAGACCAAGAUGGCUGAGUCAUGUGGGUUUGAUAGCCUCGACGCUCUUAUUGACGCAACCGUGCCUAA